UAGUCCACGCCGUAAACGAUGAGAACUAAUCUUUGGGGGUAUUGACCCCUUCAGAGAUACAGCUAACGCAGUAAGUUCUCCGCCUGGGGAGUACGGUCGCAAGACUAAAACUCAAAGGAAUUGACGGGGGCCCGCACAAGCGGUGGAUCAUGUGGUUUAAUUCGAAGCAACGCGCAAAACCUUACCUGGGCUUAAAAUCCUGAGAAUCCUUAAGAGAUUAGGGAGUGCCCUUCGGGGAAUUCAGUGAUAGGCGCUGCAUGGCUGUCGUCAGCUCGUGUUGUGAAAUGUUGGGUUAAGUCUCGCAACGAGCGCAACCCCUAUCUUUAGUUGCCAGCAUUAAGUUGGGCACUCUAGAGAGACUGCCUGGGCUAACCAGGAGGAAGGUGGGGAUGACGUCAAGUCCUCAUGGCCCUUAUGUCCAGGGCUACACACGUGAUACAAUGGUCAGUACAGAGGGAAGCAAACCCGCGAGGGGGAGCCAAUCUCAAAAAGCUGAUCUCAGUCCGGA
rnacentral:rRNA from 1 species